rnacentral:lncRNA from 1 species
UGGGUUGUAUUAAUAAGAAAGGAAACUAUAACUUGUUCCUAAGAAAAUAAAGCAUGGCCCAAACAUACACAGGCCUAUUAAAAUACUAAUAAAGAAACAAAUUAAACGACAAAAGAAAGGGAAGGUAACCCAGCUUUAUGAGCUGUCAUUUCUAAACCUUGUUGAAAAAAUCUUCUUUCUCAAUUAUAGCAGCUCCUGGAGAAGAUCAAUCGUCUGGCAAAAAUAAAUGGUUCUCUUCUCAAUCUUAAACCUUCGGUUCUUCUUCAACACCAUCCGCGAUCGACUUCAGCGAUUGUAAUAUCCAGACCAUUAUUUCUCUGGGCAAGGUGAGUGGUAUUCUUCAUUUUUAAACCCCUUGUUGCCAGUAUAUGCGCAUGCUCAUUAACUGUUCGUCUGACAUGUUGAAACUUACACUCGUAGAAGGCCUUACUCAGUUCUUUAAUAUUAUGGAUGUGUGCCCCUAUUACCGAUUUAUCUCUAUUUCUGCUUUUGACUCUUUUAAUAAUUGCCAGGGAAUCUCCUUCAAUUUCCACAUAUUUUAACCCCAGAAUCUUCCCCAUUUCAAGUCCGUGUAAACAUGCAAGGGCUUCAGCUGCAAGGUACAUUUUCGUUUAUUGUGGUUGUUGAAUUCAUGACAUCCCCAUUACAGUCUCUGAUGAUGAUUCCUGAGCAUGAUCUGUAGUUUUUAGUAUCCACUGCAGCAUCGAAAUUGAUUUUGCAGAACCCUUGCUCCGGAGGCUUCCACAGCUCUUGAGACAUUCUUGAUGUAGGAUAUAUCUGCUUUAUGGUGUUCAGCUCUUGGAGAUACUCUAAUAUAAAUCUUGCUGUCUCUGUUCCAGAUCUCCGUCGUCCUUCAUAGAUCCAUUGAUUUCUAGCAUGCCAGAUAGCCCAGAUAGCGCAAAUGAACAUACGGCAACUGUCGUUCUCUUUGUUUAGCAUGAACCAGGUAAACCAAUCCAAGAACUCCAAAUGAGAUAAAUCCUGGGGCCAAUCAUAUCGUAAUGUAUUCCAUGUUUCUUUUGUAACAGUGCAAUCACGGAAUAUAUGCUCCCUGUUCUCCAGGCCUUUCUUGCAUCUUGGACAUACUCCCUCGUUUGUUAAUCUUUUGAUUCUUAGAUUCACUAGAGUAGGCAAAUAAUUUAAGGUGGCUCUCGAAACUGUAAUAAGUAUUUUUGAAGGGAGGUCACUAUCCCAUAGCUUGUAACUAUUAUUAGUAAGCAAGUUACCAUGUAAUAACAAUUUAUACCCACUUCGCACUGAGUAUUCACCUGUUGACUCCCCCCUCCAAGCCAGAAAGUUGUCGUGGGGAAUUGUAGUGAGCGGGAUUUGGAGAAUUUUUUGGACAUCAUCUGUUGAGAAGGUGUGUUCGAGCAGCUCUGUUUUCCAUGACCUAUUGUUACUGUCGAUUAGAUCUGCUACCCUCGUUUUACUCUGAUUUCUCACCCCCUGUUGAAUAUGUAAAUUUUCAGCAUUCGGAACCCAUAUAUCCUCUUCAAUUCGAACAUCUCGUCCGUUGCCAAUUCGCCAACAAAGUCCCGACAACAAGAGACCCUUUGCAGCCCAUAUACUUUUCCAAGUGUAUGAGGGUAAGUUUCCUAGUUCUGAGUUUAGGAACUCUGAAUUUGGAUGAUAUUUAGCUUUUAAGGUUUUCGCUAGAAGAGAAGUAGGAUUUUCAAUUAGUCUCCAGCCUUGCUUCGCGAGAAGAGCCAGGUUAAAUUUUGUCAAAUUGCGAUAUCCAAGGCCUCCAUUCUCCUUUAGUUCACAUAAAUUACUCCAAGAGCACCAAUGUAUCCGUCGUUUCCCAUACCCUUUUUGCCACCAGAAAUUUGCUAUUAUUUUUUCAAUGUCUUCACAUACUGAUUUUGGUAACAGAAAGCAGCCCAUCGUAUAAGUUGGAAUUGCUUGCAAAAUAGCCUUUAUGAAGACUUCUUUCCCUCCCUGCGAUAACAACCUUGUGCUCCAGCUAUCAAUUUUUAUCUUGAUGCGAUCUUUUAAAUGUUGAAAAGCCUGGCGUCUCCUUCUUCCCACCAUGUUUGGUAGGCUUAGAUAUUUCUCAGAAUUUGUUGACACCUUAAUCCCUAAUCUAUUUGAAAUAUUAAAUCUGACCAUAUCGUUAGUGUUUGAGCUAAAGAACACAGUUGAUUUCCCAUAAUUACGCAUUGCCCUGAGCAGCUUUCAUAUUCUUUUAAAACUUGUUCGAAAGAACCCGUACCUUCUUCAGAUGCCUCCCCAAAAAGAAUACAAUCAUCAGCGAACAGUAGAUGAGUAAUCUGGGGACUCCUGCAUGCUUUAAUUGCUCUCAGAGACCCUUCCUCUCUUGCGAGUCUUAAUAGAGUCGAUAAACCCUCACUGCAGAUGAGAAAUAAAAAAGGACUCAGCGGAUCUCCUUGACGUAAUCCCCUCAUUGGCCAAAACGUUUUCCCGACUCCACCAUUUAGAAUAACCGAGUAGGAGACUGUGCUUAUACAGUGCAUAAUAAGUCGAAUCCAACUUCCAUCAAAUCCCAUUUUGCCCAUCAUUUGCUCCAAAAAUUCCCAUUCCACCCUAUCGUAUGCCUUGCUCAUAUCGAUCUUUAUUGCCGUAAAACUCUUCUUUCCCACCCUUUUGUUCCUCAUAGAAUGUAGAAUCUCAUAAGCAAGCAAAACAUUAUCAGUGAUUAGUCAACCUGGUAUAAAGGCACUUUGAGCAAGAUCAAUACAAUGUUUAAGGACGUUUUGGAAUCUAUUAGCAAUAGUUUUGGAGAUUAUUUUGUAAAGGACCGAACAAAGGCUAAUUGGUUUAAAAUGUGAUGGGUUUCUCGGAUGAGAAAUCUUCGGGAUUAAAACAAUAUGUGUGAUUAAGGUUUUGCAGAGAUUGUCCUUUAUUGAGAACGUCUAAACAAAAAUCACAAACCUCACCUCUCACUAUGUGUCAAUAUUUUUGAAAAAAGAUUGAUGGGAAGCCGUCAGGACCUGGGGCUUUUGUUGGACCAAUGUUGUUUAGUGCCUCAGUGAUAUCUUCCUCUUUGUAUUUUGCAGUUAACAUAUGGUUUGUUUCCCCACUGAUUUUCCUCGCAACACCUGAAAGAAGAUGGCUAGUGUUGCCAAUCCCAUUGGAGUGGAAGAGCCUCGUAAAAUAGUCUCGUAAAAUCUCUUCAAUUUCUUCCUCUUCUGUUCUAAGAAUACCCUCAUUGUCUUCUAGCCCUCGUAUUUUAUUAAUUUUGCGUCUCUGAGAUGCCAUAUUGUGAAAGAAAGUCGUAUUUCUGUCGCCGUGUCGCAACCAAUUUGUUCGGGCUCUCUGCUCCCAAUACAUCUCUUCCUUCUCCGUCUCCCAAUUUAAUUCUAAUUUCACAUCAAUUAUUUCUGCUAAAAUAUCAUCAUCCCUCUCCAUGUUAUCGAGCUCAGACAGUCAUUCACGGAGAUUCAUUGCUCUUUUCCGAUGUUCUCCCUUAACGUUUUUCUCUCAUCUUUUGAGGGCAACCCGGAUGUGUUCUAAUUUUUCAAGGACAUUUCCAGACGUCUUUGUCCAAACUUCCUUAAUUAGAUCCUCGCAUGACGACUCAGUUAUCCACCAAGACUCAAAUCUAAAGAAACAAUUUCCAAAAUGCUUCAUCAUUGGCGUAGUUUUGAUGAGGAUCGGACAAUGGUCAGAAAAAGAGGGGGGUAAAUUUUGUACGAAAUAAUCGUUAAAUAAAUUCAUCCAUUCCAAGUUUGCAAGCCCCCUGUCAAGCCUCUCCCUUAUAUUUGUAUCCGCGAAAUUUCCCCUUUCCCAUGUAAACUUUUGCCCAUGAAAACCCAUAUCAACUAGAUCAUAUUCUUUUAAAACUCUUCUAAAUUCCUCCAUUUGCCGUUCAUCCUUUACUCUCCCUCCAAUUUUCUCGUGUGCAUACAUAAUCUCGUUAAAAUCCCCACAUACACACCAUGGCAACGAAUACAUCUCUUUUAAUUGGCGGAGUAAAUUCCAUGAUUCCUGUUUAUUUGCUUGUCGUGGAUUCCCAUAGAAGCCGGUGAACCGCCAUUUAUUUUGGUUAUUUUCGUCGGUAAUUCCCACAUCAAUAUGGGAAGUUGAAUAACUGUAAACUUGAAUUAGAUUAUUCCCGUUCCAUGCAAGACUUAAUCCUCCACGAGGACCUUCAGCUGAGACAUCCAAACCAUUUUGAAAACCACGUCUCCGAACACGUUCUCUUAUUAUCUAAUUUUGUCUCCAUCAAGAAGACCAAUUGGGGAUUAUAAAGCUUCAAUGUAUUUUGAAGCCUUCAAAUGGCCCGAGGAUUCCCCAAUCCUCGGACAUUCCAGCUCAGAAGUUUCAUUGCUUCUGGUCAGCUGACCGUUUGGCAUCCGCCGAUAUGGUUUGUGGAAGAGCAUCGUCAUUCUUUAAAGGAGAUAGAAUAGGCUGUAUUGUUGAAAUAACUCCGGAGUACCCAUCAUCGAAUUUUGCUUUUUUUAUUCCGUUUACGGGAUAUACUUCGGGAUCAAGAUCCAGUACCUGUUCAAUUUUUCGCUUUCCAAUUUGACUCUCACUCAUAUUAGAAUCAUUGUUCUCUCUGCUUAACACACGUCGCCACCUCCUUAUCUUUUGUCCCAAAAUAUCUUCAACGUCAUUAGUGGGCCCAUCUAAGGCGGAUUUGUUUUUAAACUGGUCCCCUUCAGUACCUCUAUUUGUGUUAGAAUGUCUUUCCUCUUCUUCAGUGUACCAAUUUUUAUUUAAUUUAUCUUCCCCUUUUAUAGGCGAAACUUGAGGCGAAAGAUAAGCAGUAGUAUCCUUAAAGUUUAGCUGCGAAAUUUUUGUUCCCCUGUUCACAGAGUUCUCUUCUAAGUAAACUUCCUUCACCGUCCGAUUGGUUGUUCUCCUGGGUUCCGGCCGGAUCUCCUCUUCUUUGCGCUAAUCUUCUUUGCACUCCUUUUCCCCUUCUGUAUAGGAACAUUGUUUCAUUGUUUUUUUCAUCAGUGAACCAAAAACUAAACAUUCUUUCCCUAUGGCAG